UACCUUUUCUACAAACGAGCGUUUAACCUACUGAGAGCGGAUCCUCUGGUAGUGGUAGAGUCCCUUGCCCGAACGACCCCUGCCCGUCCGAUUAGCCCGACAGACCCCCGCCUCGCCAACCUCGUCCAUGUCUCGUCAUCGAAAUUAGGGUUACGGAAGCUCCUAUUUCGGAUCAGUUUCCUUAAGAGUUUUGAUUAGAUAACAGGCGUUGUUUCACGGUACCUAGAAGAAAUUGGGAAAAGCUGGACUGGUGAAAGAAUUUGUUUUCUAAUGGAUCAGAGGAGGGCGUUGGUUCGCUCGAAGGUGAGAGAGGCGCAGAAACGAGAGAAGCGCAUCGAUUCUCCACUUGUCAGGUAUAAUGAGAAUGAUCAGCCGGUUUGCAGAGUUUGCAAUGUUGUUCUGAAGUCAGAAUCACAAUGGCCUGCACACCAAAUUUCUAAGAAGCAUCAUGAGGUGAGGCUAUUGAGAAUCUAAAAGCUUCUGCUACUGGAUUGUCUCGGGAGAAUGUUCCAAGGACUGAAGUAUCAAAAGAACAACAAAAUAGUAAAUUGUCUUCCACAUUGCCUGCUGGCUUCUUCGAUGAUCAAAACUCAAAGAGACAAAAGAUUGAUUCUGCUGGAGGGAAGGCCAAGCCUAUUGACACACCGGUACUAGUUGGUUCUGGUUCCUCAUAUAUUCAAGAUGUGAAGAAAGAUUCAUCACCUUCUAUCAAUCGGGCCUUUGAUGUACCACAUUCUACAAAAAAGAAAAGCCACAAGGUUUUGGAAUCUAACGAAGAGAAGAAAGAGUUUACCAAAUUUGCUCAGCCAUCCAAAAUAGUGGAUGGCACAGAUGCAGAACUAGAAAAUGGGGCUCUUCCACCUAACUUUUUUGAUACAGAUGCAGAACAAGUUACUAGGGCUCUUCCCCCGAACUUUUUUGAUGACACAAGAACAGUUGAUGAUCAGACCCCCAAACAGUUGAAUCGAGAGGUAGAAAAUCAAGAUGGUUUAGCACUCGACCAGGUUAAUACAAUUUCAGCUGGCUCCAACCAUAUCAGUCGAGCAUCAAAAAGGAUUGAUGGGUCUGAUGCCAAACAAACUAAAGGAGCAUUACCAGAAGGAUUUUUUGACAAUAAGGAUGCUGAUCUCCGUGCACGUGGGAUUGAGCCUGUUAAAGUCGAUAUAAAUGAUGCAUACAAAGAAUUUGAGAAGGAAAUCCAAGUUAAUUUGCAGGUAGUGGAUGAUCGCCUGGAAGAAGAGGAGAUUGAUGCUGCCGAGGAGAUGGAGGGAUUUCGUUCACUGGAGCAAAAGGCAUACAAGGAGAGAGUGGAUGAGAUUAAGAAGAAACUUGUGGAGGUGAGGACUGAACGGCUCGCAAAAGCAAAACAACGCCCAGCCUUCAUGGGGAAGCAGUCGAGCGAUGAGUCAUCCAGCGAUGAGGGUGAUGAUGACGAAGAUGACAACUUUGCAGUGAAUUGGAGGGCACAACAUUUAUAAACUACCAUCUAGUUGGAAUUUGUGUUCUCAGUUAGAUGCUUAAACUUUGGUCGUAUAGAACCCAAAAUGAUUGUGCUGUAUGCUUGAUUCUUCUCUGCACAACCUUGAGGUAACCGAAGUAAAAAGUCCUCUCCGUUUUAGAACUCUUGCUAUGCCUGAUACUUCUUAUUUGGUUUGAUUUCUAGCUUCUGUAUUUUAUUCAAAACUUAGAACUGCUAGAAAAAUUACAGCCAAAUGUAUGAAGCUAGUGUAAUAGGUCACAUAAUCCAUUGCAAAUAGAAGUAAGCUCAAGUUGCAAGUCCACAACCGGAGUAAAAUAAACGAUGCCAGGAGGAUGCAGAUGAAACAGAUAGAACAAUACAGCACUGUCCAAGAUUGUGACAGAAAAAAUACAAGCAGCUAAAGGAGUACAAAAAAAAAAGAAGUAUAUGUAUCUUUAUUGUCUACAUACUCAAAAUUUCACAGG